AAAAUCCCUUAUUAAUUUUAUCCCUAAAUUUUACCCAUUGAAACCCCUAAAAUUUCCCCCUAAAAUCAGUAUCCCCAAAAUGCAUCUAAAUUUUCCCCCAAAUCGAAAUCCUUCCAACAUUUCAAUGUCACCAUUCUGAUCCAUAAUCCUCAGCAUCUUUCUUACUGCAUUUCUUGCUUCUCUAAAUCUCCAUCUCUAAAUCUCCAUCCCUUUGAUUUUCCCCGAAUAGUAAGUCUAAGUUCAAAUCGAAGCAUUUGCAAUCUGUUCCCUUAUUCAUAGGUUAUGAUGACCUUCUAUUUUCAUACCUUCGUUUUUCCAACUAAUUUUUCCAUCAAAGCGAGAAGUAAUGGUGUUCGGAAGCUUCAAACAGAGGGGCACUCUUCUACCAAAAGCUCCCAAGGGUUGAGGAAGUAGGAUAGCUGUGUUGUUUGAUGAGCUUGCUGAUCUUCUUCACAAUGGCGCCUUGAGAGUAGCUGCCAUGAAUUCUCUGUUUUCAUUUAACAUGAAUUUAUAAAAUGGCAUAUAAGUGUUUGUUACUUUGUCUCUAUGUAUCGUUCUUUCUAGCAUUUUAACGAGUGUAGUAUGUUUCAUUAGUUUAAAAAAUCCGGUGUUUUACGAUCUGCCAUUUUUUUAUCUGUUUUAGAAACUUCUAUUUUUUGACUGGCGAUGGGAAAGAAAGGGAGUGGAUGGUUCUCGACGGUGAAGGAAGUGUUCAAAUAAUCUCGCAAAGACUUGCCAGACAAAAAAGCUGUAAAGCUACUGCUAAGGUUGGAUGCUGAGAAUCCGAAUUCACAUCGCUGUUUGGGGUUUGCAGAAAGUCGAAGUUUUGGAAGUUCAGGUCAGAUAGAAGGGAUUGUUGUGCUCACAGCUCGUUGAAGUGGGCUGCAUCCUGGUACUCGAUAUUUGGCCAGGGUCAUUAAUUCCUGUUUUAGCAUAGGUGGUGGCAGCCGAUACAAAUCUUGUCUUAAUCACUAGGGGCAUUGAGAAGACUACAAGGGCUUUAGUAUUUGAACUUAAGGCUAUUUCAAAAGAGGUUGAAGACAGUAAACUUGCUGAUGUUGCUGCUUUUAGUGCUGGGAACAACAAUGAAAUAGGAAAUAUGAUUGCUGAGGCCAUGAGUAAAGUUGGCCGAAAGGGUGUAAUUACCCUUGAGGCGGGAAACCAAAAUAAGGUAUCAAAUCUCCAUCGUAACAACGAUGAACCUGUUUGGAGUAGAAUGCUUAAUUUCGCUGUUGAUUAAUUAUUGAAAAAUCCUUAAGAUCCUGGUGAUAUAUAAGAUUUGCAUUUUGCAGUUUAGUGUAACAAAAUUUGAACAUCAUUUUUCAAUGAAACGAAGAAAGUUGUAUUUA